GUGGGGAAUAUUGGUCAAUGGGCGAGAGCCUGAACCAGCCAAGUAGCGUGCAGGAUGACGGCCCUAUGGGUUGUAAACUGCUUUUAUCAGGGGAUAAAGUGAGGGACGUGUCCCUUUUUGUAGGUACCUGAUGAAUAAGGACCGGCUAAUUCCGUGCCAGCAGCCGCGGUAAUACGGAAGGUCCGGGCGUUAUCCGGAUUUAUUGGGUUUAAAGGGAGCGCAGGCGGGCUUUUAAGCGUGACGUGAAAUGUAGUUGCUCAACAUCUGCACUGCGUCGCGAACUGGAGGCCUUGAGUGCAUUCGACGCUGGCGGAAUUCGUGGUGUAGCGGUGAAAUGCUUAGAUAUCACGAAGAACUCCGAUUGCGAAGGCAGCCGGCGAGACUGUAACUGACGCUAAAGCUCGAAAGUGCGGGUAUCGAACAGG
rnacentral:rRNA from 1 species